CAGGGCAAAAAGUCACAGUAAUAAAGUUACAAUUUUGGCGAGGAAACAAUAAUAGUAAAACAUACAUAUAUAAUCAUAAAAAUCAUUAUCAUUUUGCGGUAUUGUCUACGCUGGUAUGGUUUGGAUGGAUUGUCCCAGUAUACCACAGUUCAUAUUCAGAGUCACAGCCCUGAUUGGAUGCUCUUCUGAAAACCAACCAAUUUACAGACUCUAGUGAGUGUAUGUAUCUUACCAUAGCGUGAGUUCAUGUAAGUUGCUUUACCUUUUUUCUUUUUUGUCUUUCAAUGCUCAAAAGCUAAGGAGUCCUCUAGUCUACAGUUAUAUACACAGAAAUUUAAAAAGUACAUAGACAUCCUCACUUUGUGUGUGUGUGUGUUUAGGGAGAGAGUCAAUUUAGAGUCAUCUAUUUACUUUUGAGACAUCUGUGUGUGUGUGUGUGUAUAUAUAUAUAUAUAUAUAUACUAGCAGUAUCGCCCGGUGUUGCUCAGCUUUGUUUCAACCCUUUAGAAUUGGAAUUUUUGAAAAGUAUAAAUUUUGCAUUAUGUAGCUUGUUAUUCUCUUUAAGUGAACAUUUUUCUGGUUGAAAUACACCGAAAAAUGGCGACACAGCAGUCAAAAAAUCGUCGUAAAAAAUAGGUAUUUUCAUAGAAAAAAUGCACCUUUUUGAUGUAAAUAAUUUUUGGUGUUAACAUGGUCCGAUUUGAAUUUUUUCUUCUACGGAAGGAAGCGCAAGCCUUCUUCUAUCAUACUCUCAAUUUUGGUCAACUUGCACCACAGGAUCUCGGAGGAGAUAGUGUUAGUUGAAGGCUACCAAACCUGCCAUACACAGACAACUUCAGCUUUAUAUAUAUAUAUAUAUAUAUAUAUAUAUAUAUAAGGAUAAUUAGCAUUGCCCAGGAAGUAAAAGAAUGAGAUGUUCUGCACUAAUGUCAUAUAUCAAAUUUAUAUUUUACUGUUAAAUCUGAGAUUUUCAAACAAACAAACAUGCAGAUAAAUUUAUUUUACAGAGUUGUACACAAUCAUUUUGAACUUGUAAUUGUGUAAAAAGGACACCAUUAUGCAAAUUAGUCUUACCAUUACAGCUAAGUUCUUGAUUUUGUUUAAUUUAAAUAGCAUUUACUAGUAGUUCUUUUCUUGAGCAGAUGUUAAGAGAGUAUGUCCUCUCUCUCAAUGAUCUACACUGGGAAUCACAUCAAGACAAUCUCCAUUUUUUUCUUUCUAUUUGUAAAUAGAUAAACAAGGUGUGUUUCCAGUAAAGUCUUUCAUAACUGUGGUUUAACUACUUUACUUAAAUUUAUAUUUAAAUAAUUUUUUAUAUAUAUGUAGGGUUUUCAGGCUAAAUUUGAUGAUCUUUUUCUGUCUGCUUUUUUUUUUUUCAGGAACAGUUUGAUGUAUUGGGGAAC
rnacentral:lncRNA from 1 species